UGCGUAGACGGUUAGACAAGUCAGAUGUGAAAGCCCGGGGCUCAACCCCGGGACUGCAUUUGAAACUGCCUAACUAGAGUGCAGGAGAGGUAAGUGGAAUUCCUAGUGUAGCGGUGAAAUGCGUAGAUAUUAGGAGGAACACCAGUGGCGAAGGCGGCUUACUGGACUGUAACUGACGUUGAGGCACGAAAGCGUGGGGAGCAAACA
rnacentral:rRNA from 1 species